rnacentral:snRNA from 1 species
CUGCUUGCUUCGGGAGCACAUAGACUAAAAUUGGAACAAUACAGAGAAAAUUAGCAUGGCCCCUGCACAAAGAUGACACACAAAUUCAUGAAGCGUUCCAUAUUUUU